rnacentral:ncRNA from 1 species
UCUUCAUGGCGCGGUAGGCUGAGCUCAUGGAGAUCAUCUUACAACUCAAAGAACGAGUUGGCGCUGACUCCCACUAGGAGUUUCUCCUUAAAUGUUCUCAUCCGUUAACAAUGAGCUGCCCUUCAAGAAAAAUGAUGACAUAAAUCCCCCCCAGGCAAGUCAUUCAAGGAUGAUCCCUGAGCAUGCCCCAGCGAAUGGCGGCCGUAACUAUGACAAUCCUAAGCUAGUGAAAUUCCUUGUCGGGUAAGUUCUGAUCAGCACGAAAGA